ensembl:snoRNA
AUACUAUGAUGGUUGCAUAGUUCAGCAGAUAGAAUAAUGAAGAAUACGUAACCUUAUUGUCUGAUGUGUCU